AGCCAUAUCACGUUGAAACAGCGGUUCUCAUUAGAUCACCGAAGUUAAGCAACAUCGAACCUGCUCAGUAUCUCGAUGGGUGACUACUUGAGAAUACUAGGUACUGUAA